rnacentral:tRNA from 1 species
GAGGGGAGGUUUAAACAACAAGAACUGCUAAUUCUUGCAUCUGAGCAUAAAACCUCAGCCCCCUUA